rnacentral:rRNA from 1 species
AAAUCAGCUUGCUGAUUUGCUGACGAGUGGCGGACGGGUGAGUAAUGUCUGGGAAACUGCCUGAUGGAGGGGGAUAACUACUGGAAACGGUAGCUAAUACCGCAUAACGUCGCAAGACCAAAGAGGGGGACCUUCGGGCCUCUUGCCAUCGGAUGUGCCCAGAUGGGAUUAGCUAGUAGGUGGGGUAACGGCUCACCUAGGCGACGAUCCCUAGCUGGUCUGAGAGGAUGACCAGCCACACUGGAACUGAGACACGGUCCAGACUCCUACGGGAGGCAGCAGUGGGGAAUAUUGCACAAUGGGCGCAAGCCUGAUGCAGCCAUGCCGCGUGUAUGAAGAAGGCCUUCGGGUUGUAAAGUACUUUCAGCGGGGAGGAAGGGAGUAAAGUUAAUACCUUUGCUCAUUGACGUUACCCGCAGAAGAAGCACCGGCUAACUCCGUGCCAGCAGCCGCGGUAAUACGGAGGGUGCAAGCGUUAAUCGGAAUUACUGGGCGUAAAGCGCACGCAGGCGGUUUGUUAAGUCAGAUGUGAAAUCCCCGGGCUCAACCUGGGAACUGCAUCUGAUACUGGCAAGCUUGAGUCUCGUAGAGGGGGGUAGAAUUCCAGGUGUAGCGGUGAAAUGCGUAGAGAUCUGGAGGAAUACCGGUGGCGAAGGCGGCCCCCUGGACGAAGACUGACGCUCAGGUGCGAAAGCGUGGGGAGCAAACA